GGGCGAGUGCUGGAAUGGCAGACAGGCUAGUCUCAAAAACUAGUGGCUUCACAGCCGUGAGGGUUCGACUCCCUCUUCGCCCA
rnacentral:tRNA from 1 species